ACUGGGAAAGCCCAGCGCUGAAUCUUUCGAUGUUACAUCGUAAAGAAAUGUAGCGUAUAGGUGUAGUUAUCGGUUUGUUUGGCGUAUCCAAAGUUCCUUUGAUAGGGGCCAUAUUCCAGAGAGGGUGCGAGACCUGUGCGGAUAGCGGAACAUGCCGUAUGAUUAUACCUUGGAGUCGGGUUGCUUGAAAGUGCAGCCUUAAGUGGGUGAUAAACUUCAUCUAAGGCUAAAUACGGACGCGAAUUCGAUAGCAAACAAGUACUGUGAAGGAAAGUUGCAAAGAACUUUGAAGAGAGAGUUCAAGAGAACGUGAAAUCGUUGAAGUGGAACCGGAGAGAGUUGACGUAGUAUGGUGGAUAAGUAUUGCAAGAAUCGCUUCAAAAAAUGUGAACGUGAUCGAGCAGUAUGUAUGUCACCAAUGACUGCGCUGACCGCAUCGACUACACGCUCUGAACCGUGUUGACGUGUUGCCUACUCUAGUAUAUAGAGUGGUGUCUUGUGUUACGUGGUGAAGUUUGUUGUUAUGUUGAUGUUGAUAC
rnacentral:rRNA from 1 species